AUGAGAUAUGGCCUUUUUACGUUGGGGAUCACAGAGUUAUUGUACAAUUGGGUUCUUGAGUGUCAUGAGCUCCCAACUGUGCAAAUGAUGGAGCGUAUUCACUAUCAGUAGCCAUCUUUGUUUAACGAUUGACAUGAUAUUGGAGUGAGGUGGACUUCAAUUCUCGUUCCAUCUACGGAGAAGCGGAUUAUGGAGGCAAUUUCAGAAGCUUGUUGCUAUCAAGUCCUACGCGCAAACGAAGUUGAGUUUGAGGUUGUAUCAACUGAGCGGACAAAUAUUGUGAAUAUUAUAAGUCGU
rnacentral:misc_RNA from 1 species